GAGAUCAAAAUAAAAAGAGCUCGGAGACAGCUGCUAUGUUCCCUAGCAAAGCCAAACCUGAUUUAGCAUUCCUUGAGUAACAAAAAUAAUAACAAUAAUACGCAUACCUUCUUUUCCUGUAUGCAUUUGCUCUUCAUGAAAAAGGGGCCGGGGUGAUUAUUUUCAGGGUUAUGAUGGCUGCGAGAAGAAGCUUUGCAGGAAAGCUGAAUCAUCGGAAUAAUCCCAGGAAAUGAUGCUCUGAUGAACGGGAAAGAAGAUGGCUGCGUUACACGAGGCUCUUGCAUACACCUUGCCUAAAAAGUCAUUUCCCACCUUGAUGACACCUCCCGUAUCUCAGUAUUUUCCCACAUCCUACAAAGAUAAUGCCUUAGGAAGUCCCCAGGGCUCAUUUUCUGCCUUCUGUGCCAGUACUGGCAGUUUGCUCUUCUGUUCCAUCUGUCCAACCCGAACUAUGAGGCUGAAAACCAGGGCGAUGCACCCAGCUUCCUGCGCUGCCCCAUAUGUUUCCAAAGGCUGUGCGAGCUGGCAAAACCAUACAGAACGGUCCAUGCUGGCAGUGGGAGGCUGGAGAAGCUGGGAGAUUUGAGGAGGCUCUCAAGGGACUAGGGAAAAAAAAAAAGUCCCAAAUGUGGGAGGGAAUCUUGGCAGAAAUGAAAGGGGGGUUGUUGAGCAAAGCACGCGCUGGCUCCAGCCGCACGGAGCUUGCAAUAUGUUACACUGAGAAUCUGUGGGUGUGUUUAUAAGACCUGCCGCUGACUUGCAUGCACAAAGGAUGUAGCCUCCUCUUAUCAGAAAAAUGUGGGCUUCAGGCUCGCAGAAGAGGGUGAAUGCUUGCAAGACUUCACGUCAAGUCUUCCUUCUGGCUGCGGAGCUCUCGCCCAGCAGAACGGGCCCACAGCUAGGCUUUGACCGGACUGACUUUGGUUUCUGGCAGGCAAAAGCAGUGUCUUUAAUUGUGGCAGGCUAUAAAGUAGUUAGUUCCCCUGCAGUUCCCACAACAAAGCUGCAGUGAGAAUCUGGAUGACUUUCUACAGCGCUGGAAAAAUCCCUCGUUCCGAGCAUCUCUUGGGCAUACGAGAAUAUUUCGAGCUAGUUUCGCUUUGGCCUCGGCCAGCUCCCUGGAAUGAGAACCACAGAGCCACUUCAUGUGAGCAAAUAUUGGCCUUGAUUACUAUUGCAGGCUGAACCCAAAACCAAACAGCAAAUGUGAGGUAAGCUGAGAGGCACCAUUAGCAAAAGCUCACGUAGUAACCUCAGGGAAGGCAGCAGGCGGAAAGCGAGGCGAGGCGCUCUCAUGUUUUGCAGGGAGGAAAGAAGGGAGACUCAAUUCCUGCUGGAGGAAGAAGAUGCUUGGGGAGAGGAAGAGGGAAGCCAACAUCCAGCUAGAUGCUUUUUGUUCAGAGGUCUCUUCGAGGUGACAGAUGCUGAAAUGUGCUUUAAACAAUGUGAGUUUUGUGAAGUAAAAAACCACCGUUCACCUUGGUGGAUUCUCUGAACUAGGUCCUGUUUUCCAAAUGGCAACAUCACCGUGCUACUCAGUUCUUGGUUCUGUGAAAAUUGGGCCCAGCCUGAGACCUAGGAAGGAAAAGAGAAGCAAAGAUGGUGUAAAGCUCUCCACAGCCCCACCUAAGCAGGAAAGCAGCGUUUAGAUGGCUUUGGCAAUCUCUUGCAAGUAUUUUCCCUUUGUCAAUAUCAUCUGCUCCACGCCUGGCAAGUAUAUUUGCUACCUGAGUGUCACAAGCAUAGGACGGCUGCAGGGCGACAGGGAUGUUUAUUCCCCUUUCAGCUUAUCCUCUGCUGAGUAAAAAGAAUGCCCCCAAGCCCUUCUGAACUCAGGAAUCUGAAGCAUUUCUUACCCCCCCUGAGAAAGGGAGAAGGACAAGGAGGUAUUUGAGAUGGUAAUAAAGGACCCUUAGCGACUGCUGAACCACGGAGCUGUGAGGCCAGGAGAGACGUGCCCAAAAUUACGUGCCACGAACCGGUGGAAUUAUCACUAAAGGGGCUAAACCACAACGGGUUGUGUGAAAAAUGCCCAGUUUGUUUUCCACAGCGAGAAAUUGCCGUGCUCAUUUAAGGCAGGUAACAGGACGUGCUCUGCAGGAAUUUUGGAUAAGCUGGGAUAGACCCAAGGCUGAAAACUCAGGUCCCAAAAGUUGGUUUGGGGGCGAGGAUACUUUUGCUGGAUGGCUUGUAUUCCUGGUGUAAAAAUCCUUUUCUUUUUUUUUUUUUUUUUAUAGUGGUGCUGGAUGCCAGCUUUCCCAGCAUUUACAGCUGGCUAGAAAAUAGCUAGCAGCAAGAGAGCAGGGCUAGAGGAAACGAGGUUAGGAAGUGGAGAUACCGAACUGAAAAAUGCGUGUUGCUUAGCGCUGUGCUCGCGUUUAGAUGGCAGCGAUGAUUAUAUUUGAAUUCCUUGGAGGUAAAGAGCUCUGGGCCAUUGUUCUUGGUAUGUCAGAUCAGGAAUGCGGUGUCUGCAACCAUGCAUAAUGGAGCUGCGCUCCCAUCCCGGGGCUUGGAAGAACUCACAAGCUCCAAGGAGAGCUUUCCUCUGCCCGAGACCUCAGUUUUCAUUUAGGUGUGUUUCUGGGGACACGUCCCAUGACUUCAGUCCCAGCACAGCUGUUUGACAACCUGCUUAUCCAACUGGGAUACGUACAUACUUUUACAACGUGGUGUCACUCCCUUUGUAUUGCAGGGAGGGGUCUCUAGCACAAAGUAAAUUUGCUUACUGUGCUACCUAACUGAUGGGUAGAGAUUUCUGCCUCUGAGUCGUACCCCAGCUGAGCAGAGAUGUCGUGUGCGAAUGUUUUGUUUUCCAGCUGCAGCUCUUGUCAUUAAUGUGUGAAGAAAGUAAAAUCGUGUUCCUCUUUUGCUGAAGCAAGAACCACAACGAAGCAGGAGCUCAGCAGGCUGUUUGCACAGGACUGCGUGGGUGGGUGGGUGGUUGGGGAGAGGUGGAAAGGGGGAGAAGAACUCUCUUAAAUGCUACAGUGAGCCAGGUGCUGCUCCUGCCCUCCUCCCAGCUUUGGGGUGCAGGUAUGGGUCCCUCCUAUUUUCUCCAUCAGCAAAGUGAGCAUGAAAGACCCCCAUCGCAGUCCCUCGGUUCAAUCUCUUUGGUUGUGCUGAUGCCUCUGUCUCUCUGCGGGCCUAUAAACUAGAUCAGCGAGCUGCUUUUUUCUUCUUAACCUUCUUUUUUAACUCCAGUGAUCCAGUUUACAGCAUUGGUUUUGAAACGCCUGCAUCAGCACCGCUGAGGCAGCGGCGGCUCUGACACAGCACUAGGACCAAGCGGCUGGGGGAGAAAAGAUGACAUCUCAAGCCAGUUUUGCUGAUGAAGAGCAUUACAGAAUCGCACCCUGAUGCACAAAAACAAGGCAAUGAAGCUGUGAAAUGCUUCACUCUGUAAGGAAAGGCCUUAUAUUCUUCCUAACAUCUGCUACUUGCUGCUUCUGAGGCAGGUUACUGGGCUGUGUUUGCCUUAGUGUGGUCCCAGCUCUUUUACAUCAGCUGCUCCUGUUAUAAUUUGGAUGAACACAGCUAGAACUUGGGUUUAAAUAUGUAAACUCUGAUGCUCUGGUGGUAACACCACUUGCUUUCGCUCCUUCCACAUCUGAAGUUCAUGGUUUUCCACCUUCUGUGCCGUCACAGUUCGGAUUUGGCAUUUGUUAUGGGAGCAAAACAAGAAAGAAUUGGCACAAGGGGAAAAGGAAGCUAUGCUAAUAGACGGUACCUAAAUUCCAGGCAAGUUUUGUGUUCAGAGGACAUGGGCAGUAAAUGGUGAAGUCCACAGAAAUGUGUUGCUCUCUCCUCCUUUGCUCCAAAGAGCCAUUUCCUUCUGUUACAGGGUGCAAAAACCUUGUAAGUUCUCAUUUGCAUUUAUAGCUGGGUGCGUGUAUCGAAGUGACUCCAGAGCUGCCUUUUUUUUUUUUUUUUUUGUAUUAAUUCCAAUUAUGAGUCUGCACAGAAACUACUGAUGUUUCAGGCUUCUGCAAAAGCAGAGUCGAGGCUUCUUGGCAGUAACAGAUUGUGACAUUCUCCAGAUCUGCAUGUGUGCGGUUUCUGUCUGAAGUCACUGUGGUUAGCGUUUAGCAAUGUGACUUCUCUGAUAAAGUAAACACCUUUUGUCUCCUGUCACUCUUCUUUCAGCCUGGAAGAAACUUGUUUUGGAAGAGAUUUCUUCUGCCUCACAAGGCAUUUGGAAAUGAUUUGUCAACACGAAUUUAGCCACCUUACCUGUUUGUGAGAUACAGAAAUGAAAAGUGCCUACGUUUAGGGUUCGUGCAGGCUUCUCCCAGGCACUGCAGCUUGCCAAAAAGCUUAAGCCCAAUUGUCUUGGAUUAGGCCAGCGUAGAGCCUAACAGCGUAGUUCAGCAAAGUGAGCAUUGGUGUGGUCUGUUGUGAAGGCUGGCAAAUUGAAGAGUAAUCUCUGGAUGCUCGGUGUUUUAUUUUCUUUCUCCUGUAAAUCUGGCUGCUGUUGAGGUGCUGGUUUUCAGAAUUCAAUUCAUUACAAGUUUGCUCUUGCAAGCAUUGAUGGAAAAUAUGAGUGAAGUUGACCAGAAGGAUCAAAUAAACAUCAUACCAAUUUGUAGAAAGUAA